AGAGUUUGAUCCUGGCUCAGAACGAACGUUGGCGGCGUGGAUUAGGCAUGCAAGUCGAACGAAUCCCAGUCCCUCACCUUGCUCUCGCCCCUCGUCCUAGGCCCGUACCCCGACAAUGAUCGGGAGAGAGGCUGAGGCUGAGGGGUCGAGGGUGUGGUGAGGGGCUGGGGGAAGUGGCGAAAGGGGCAGUAAGGCGUGGGUAACCUACCCUGAGGACGGGGAUAGCCACUCUAACGAGUGGGUAAUACCCGGAGAUGUAACGAGAUCGCAUGACCUUGUUACCAAAUGAGUUUCGCCUUGGGAGGGGCUCACGUGGUAUUAGCUUGUUGGUGAGGUAACGGCUCACCAAGGCCAAGAUGCCUAGCAGGUGUGAGAGCACGACCUGCGCCACUGGCACUGAGACACUGGCCAGACUCCUACGGGAGGCUGCAGUCGAGGAUCUUCGGCAAUGGGCGCAAGCCUGACCGAGCGACGCCGCGUGCGCGAUGAAGGCCUUCGGGUUGUAAAGCGCUGUCGAGGGGGAGGAAGCCGAAAGGUUGACCUAUCCCUGGAGGAAGCACGGGCUAAGUUCGUGCCAGCAGCCGCGGUAAGACGAACCGUGCAAACGUUGUUCGGAAUCACUGGGCUUAAAGGGCGCGUAGGCGGGCUGUCAAGUCCGGGGUGAAAUCUUUCGGCUCAACCGGAAAAUUGCCUUGGAUACUGAUGGUCUUGAGUGAGGUAGGGGCAUGUGGAACUUCCGGUGGAGCGGUGAAAUGCGUUGAUAUCGGAAGGAACGCCGGUGGCGAAAGCGACGUGCUGGACCUUUUCUGACGCUGAGGCGCGAAAGCUAGGGUAGCGAACGGGAUUAGAUACCCCGGUAGUCCUAGCCCUAAACGAUGGGUACUAGGUUGUGGACUUGACAUGGGUUCACAGCCGAAGCAAAAGUGUUAAGUACCCCGCCUGGGGAGUAUGGUCGCAAGGCUGAAACUCAAAGGAAUUGACGG
rnacentral:rRNA from 1 species